ACAGGGUACCUUUCUAUAACUGGGUGAACUCGAUCUCCUGACCUCUCAAGAUACUUCUUCAUGAAAGUUCACUCUUGCAUUUUCCAAAACGGAAUCUCUUUUUAUCACAUUAAGCAAAUUGCUCAAAGACAAAGUUCAAUGUCAACGUAAUAUGGGGUUAACACACACCCCCAAGGUUCAAGCGUGCAGUGGGAUUAUACAUUGGA